rnacentral:rRNA from 1 species
UGGGGAAUUUUGGACAAUGGGGGAAACCCUGAUCCAGCCAUCCCGCGUGUGCGAUGAAGGCCUUCGGGUUGUAAAGCACUUUUGGCAGGAAAGAAACGUCAUGGGUUAAUACCCCGUGAAACUGACGGUACCUGCAGAAUAAGCACCGGCUAACUAAGUGCCAGCAGCCGCGGUAAUACGUAGGGUGCAAGCGUUAAUCGGAAUUACUGGGCGUAAAGCGAGCGCAGGCGGUUCGGAAAGAAAGAUGUGAAAUCCCAGAGCUCAACUUUGGAACUGCAUUUUUAACUACCGGGCUAGAGUGUGUCAGAGGGAGGUGGAAUUCCGCGUGUAGCAGUGAAAUGCGUAGAUAUGCGGAGGAACACCGAUGGCGAAGGCAGCCUCCUGGGAUAACACUGACGCUCAUGCACGAAAGCGUGGGGAGCAAACAGG